rnacentral:rRNA from 1 species
UAGUCAUAUGCUUGUCUCAAAGAUUAAGCCAUGCAUGUCUAAGUAUAAAUAACUACACAGUAAAACUGCGAAUGGCUCAUUAAAACAGUUAUAGUUUAUUUGAUAUAUUAAAUGGAUAACUGUAGGAAACUAGAGCUAAUACAUGCCAAAGUCGUAAGACAGCAUUUAUUAGAUAUACCAAGACGGUGAAUCAUAAUAACUUCGCAAAUCGAAACAACGUUUCGAUAAAUCAUUCAAGUUUCUGACCUAUCAUGCUCUCGAUGGUAGUGUAUUGGACUACCAUGGCAGUCACGGGUAACGGAGAAUUAGGGUUCGAUUCCGGAGAAGGAGCCUGAGAAACGGCUACUACAUCUAAGGAAGGCAGCAGGCGCGUAAAUUACCCAAUCCUAAAUCAGGGAGGUAGUGACAAGAUAUAACAACGCGAUUUAAUGUCGCGAUUGUAGUGAGGGUAUUCUUAAAAUAGCUUCGAGUACGAUU